UGACCCGAGGGGGGCCCCCACGCCCGCUCUGGCCUCUCAGGCUGAGGCACCUAGGGAGUUGCCCCCCUAGUGGACGGCCUCUCAGGAGAUCCUGACCACCCUCUGGGAACCUGGACUCCUCCAAGCAUCGUCUUUCUCGCCUGCAUCUUCGGAGAGAGGUGCUGAGCCCUUCCUCAUGGAUACGGGGUCCCGGGAGGCAGCCUUCACCAGGGACCUGCCCAGGAAACCAGCAGAUGCCCAGGUCAGCCCUGAAAUGUCCAUUACUCACAAAGAAAAGGAAAAUGCUCAUUUGAAAGAAAUUCUUCUCUUUGUCAAUGCUGAGGCAUUCUCUCAGCCCCAGCCCCACAGUGCUCCAGUGUGUGAAGGGCAACAGCUGACGGGGAAGUUCAGCACAUCUGUGCUGACCAGGGCUGGAGGCGAUGCCAGUCCGUGCAGCUGGGAACGCCUCCUCUGCUAUGGCUGGAGCCACUGCUGAAGGGACUCCACCUGGCACCUAUGCCACCAAUGGCCCCUGAACGGGUAUCUAGGCCCACCCUUAAUAAAGAUGAGCUGCUCA
rnacentral:lncRNA from 10 species